rnacentral:rRNA from 1 species
CAGCAGCCACGGUAAUACGGAGGGGGCUAGCGUUGUUCGGAAUUACUGGGCGUAAAGCGCACGUAGGCGGCUUUGUAAGUCAGAGGUGAAAGCCCGGGGCUCAACCCCGGAAUUGCCUUUGAGACUGCAUCGCUUGAAUCCAGGAGAGGUGAGUGGAAUUCCGAGUGUAGAGGUGAAAUUCGUAGAUAUUCGGAAGAACACCAGUGGCGAAGGCGGCUCACUGGACUGGUAUUGACGCUGAGGUGCGAAAGCGUGGGGAGCAAACAGGAUUAGAUACCCGUGUAGUCCCUGUCUCUAUACA